AGCGAACGCUGGCGGCAGGCCUAACACAUGCAAGUCGAACGGAUCCUUCGGGAUUAGUGGCGGACGGGUGAGUAACACGUGGGAACGUGCCCUUUGAUACGGAAUAACUCAGGGAAACUUGAGCUAAUACCGUAUGUGCCCUUCGGGGGAAAGAUUUAUCGCCAUUGGAGGGGCCCGCGUUAGAUUAGCUAGUUGGUGAGGUAAAGGCUCACCAAGGCUACGAUCUAUAGCUGGUCUGAGAGGAUGAUCAGCCACACUGGGACUGAGACACGGCCCAGACUCCUACGGGAGGCAGCAGUGGGGAAUCUUGCGCAAUGGGCGAAAGCCUGACGCAGCCAUGCCGCGUGAAUGAUGAAGGUCUUAGGAUUGUAAAAUUCUUUUACCAGGGACGAUAAUGACGGUACCUGGAGAAAAAGCCCCGGCUAACUUCGUGCCAGCCGCCGCGGUAAGAC
rnacentral:rRNA from 1 species